CUGAAGCGAACCAAAUACGAUAAUAUGGCCAAAACAAUAUGGCAACGCUGAGAUCAAGCCGCCAGCCUGACACCAGCUGAUCGCAAGCCCACAGGAGGACUCAGAGCAAUGCUCAGAGGCCUUUCUGGCCUUCUUACCCUCAUUUUAGGACACAGGUUUCAUGGUACGCUGGAUGGCGAGGAAGGGACAUGUGAUCAGUGGGGAGGAGUUUCCGCUAUACUUGAAGGAUGUGCCGGCCAUCAGCAUGGACUACCCCACCCCUUGUCUCCAUCCCUGAGACCAGCAAGUUUGCCCUCAGCCACCUGUUCUUUGCCCUCUUGCCAGGAAUGUUUAAAGCUGAGAAAGCUGAGCACACUAGAGAAGCUUGCCACAAGGGUGAGCACUACUAGAGUCCAAUCUGGAACUUCUGUGUGGCAGUGAAGGCCACGAAGGGUCCAGAAAACUAUCAGGAUGUGAGAAGCCCCACACCCCAUCACAGGCGCCGGCAGGGCCUCGGGACUCGGGUCUGUUGGUGAAGCACAUGAACAUUGAAGGGAAACACUUGGGAAAUUGAAAGUAAGGAAGGAGGGAAACACAUAACACAUGUUCAGCAGAAACCCCACAUGAUCCAGAACAAACUCCAGGAAGCAGUGAGAUUCUGAGGGAAGCUACUGGUGUCCACAACCCCUGCCAAGCUCUGGCUUCAUAAGGGAAAAUGCAUGGUGCAGAAGGUAACGUGAGAGGCUUGGACGGGACUCCACCCUCAGGUUGUCUGGCUUGUCUGACAUUUCAUUGUCUGAAGCGGUGGUGGUGGAGAGGCGCUCACUGGCCCAGGGUGGGGAUGCUACAUUGUGUUCUGGGAGGGCAGUGGUACAUUAGUAAGAAAUGGAUUUUGUUUAUAAUUGAUUUUACUACAGGGUAUGCUGGUGGCAGCUGGGAGGACCAGUGUGUGGCAUAGAGGGGGCGAAUAUUGUGGAGGAGAGGAGAGCCUGUCAUCCCCUCCCUCCCCCCAACCAUGCCAGGGGGAGGAGGAGGGGGCAAGGCCUCGGCUGUGGUGUCCAGAUCGUAUAUGUUAGGAAGGUGAAGCAGACUGGGUGAGCAAAGCAGUGGCAGUGCUGCAGGCGAGACAGUACCUGGGGGAGGAUUGGUGCGGUGCUCAUUGACCCUCAGUGUGCCGUUGUGGGUGGUGGUGUCAUCCUCGUCGCUGGAGUGGGACGAGGCAAGGUCCAGGGAGCGGUGGUCCAGGCUCAGCUCGCUCUCACUCUCACUCUCCCGGCGCUUGGUGGCCCGUGCUCCUGCAGCUGUGGUGGUGUGAGGGUUCAGUGGUGCAGAAUGAGAUUGAGAGUUGAGGUCAGUGUUGGAAUUAUAGUUGCUGGGGGUGCUAGAGGAGGCCCCCACUCCCCGGGGCCCAGCAGCCGCCCGCUCCCCCCGGCUGUAGGGGGAACUAGAGGUCUUACAGGUGGAACGUGAGGUGGUGCUGGCGGUGGAGAUGCCAAUGUUGCGGCGCAGGAUGUUGAAGUCGUCAUUGUAGGUACAACCAAAACUCUUCUGAAGGAAUUGCAAGAGCAGGUGAUCCACUCACAGACACAACGGAGGUCCUGGUAACGCUGAGCGACUCCUGGUAUGGCACCUUUUUCCCCAUGCAGGUGCGGAUCAUGAAGUAGAGGGAGUCCCGCACUCGGCUAUUGAGGAGGCAGUAGCCCACCAGGAUGAACAUUGCCGUCAGCAGAGAGAACACCGAGAAGAAGUAGUGAAGGAUCUCCAGAUCCUCUGAGACAGACAAGACUGCUAGGACCCAGGUGGCCCCAAGCAGUGGCAGGAACAGGAUGCCCAGCCACAGCAGAGUCCUGUCCAACAGGAGGGACGUACCUUAGAUUACCGAAGCCUUCGAUGUGGCCCUUGAGAGUGAGUGAUGCCCUGAUGGCCAUGACAAACACCAGCAGGAUGAUGAUAACAAUGGCACAGAUGGGACCCACCAGUGCCCAUACCACAGACUCAUAGAUGGACAGCCAGCAACUGUGGUAGGAGACACAAAGACAGGCCCACAAUGAUGGCUGGCAGUCCGUAGCCACAUGAAUAAUAGAAACGCAUCUGGCCAUGGUUCACAUCGCGCAUCUCUGUCAGCAUCCGAUACAGAUGCACUCCCUCAAUGAGCAGCCAGCACUUUGGUCCUCACCUCCUCCUGGACAAGGAAAUGCCUGAUCUUGAGUGCAGCCAGGAAGAGCAGCUGCACCACAAAGAGGGAGGCCGUCAGAUUCUUGUGGAUGGUGUUGGAGUUUGUCUGGGCGCCUCGCAGCAGACAGAAGGCAACGAAGGCCAGCAGCAGCAGCACCAAAGUGAGCACCAGACCAGUGUAGGUUGUCACAUCCUCAGCAAUGGAAGGCUCAGCAAGGAACUGUUUGUGAGUGUGAAUAAAAGACAUUAAAAAAAAUCUGGUCAUGUAUAUAUAUAUUCCCUUUAGGAUAUGAUGACAUAGGCACCUGCCCAUUUAUAUAUCCCUUACAAUAACAAAUGACAUAUA